GAUGAACGCUGGCGGCGUGCCUAAUACAUGCAAGUCGAGCGAACAGACGAGGAGCUUGCUCCUCUGACGUUAGCGGCGGACGGGUGAGUAACACGUGGAUAACCUACCUAUAAGACUGGGAUAACUUCGGGAAACCGGAGCUAAUACCGGAUAAUAUAUUGAACCGCAUGGUUCAAUAGUGAAAGACGGUUUUGCUGUCACUUAUAGAUGGAUCCGCGCCGCAUUAGCUAGUUGGUAAGGUAACGGCUUACCAAGGCAACGAUGCGUAGCCGACCUGAGAGGGUGAUCGGCCACACUGGAACUUAGACACGGUCCAGACUCCUACGGGAGGCAGCAGUAGGGAAUCUUCCGCAAUGGGCGAAAGCCUGACGGAGCAACGCCGCGUGAGUGAUGAAGGUCUUCGGAUCGUAAAACCCUGUUAUUAGGGAAGAACAAAUGUGUAAGUAACUAUGCACGUCUUGACGGUACCUAAUCAGAAAGCCACGGCUAACUACGUG
rnacentral:rRNA from 1 species